rnacentral:rRNA from 1 species
UACGGGGGGGGCAAGCGUUGUUCGGAAUUACUGGGCGUAAAGGGCUCGUAGGCGGCCAACUCAGUCGGACGUGAAAUCCCUCGGCUUAACCGGGGAACGGCGUCCGAUACUGGAUGGCUUGAAUCCGAGAGAGGGAUGUAGAAUUCCAGGUGUAGCGGUGAAAUGCGUAGAUAUCUGGAGGAAUACCGGUGGCGAAGGCGGCAUCCUGGACCAUUACUGACGCUGAGGCGCGAAAGCUAGGGGAGCAAACGGG